UGCCAGCCGCCGCGGUAAUACAGAGGUGGCAAGCGUUAAUCGGAAUCACUGGGCGUAAAGCGCGCGUAGGCGGUUGUGUAAGUCGGAUGUGAAAGCCCAGGGCUUAACCUUGGAACUGCAUUCGAUACUGCAUGACUAGAGUGUGGUAGAGGGAAGUGGAAUUUCCGGUGUAGCGGUGAAAUGCGUAGAUAUCGGAAGGAACAUCAGUGGCGAAGGCGGCUUCCUGGACCAACACUGACGCUGAGGUGCGAAAGCGUGGGUAGCAAACAGGAUUAGAUA
rnacentral:rRNA from 1 species